rnacentral:rRNA from 1 species
CCUACGGGGGGCAGCAGUGAGGAAUAUUGGUCAAUGGACGAGAGUCUGAACCAGCCAAGUAGCGUGAAGGAUGACUGCCCUAUGGGUUGUAAACUUCUUUUAUAUGGGAAUAAAAUGUUCCACGUGUGGGAUUUUGUAUGUACCAUAUGAAUAAGGAUCGGCUAACUCCGUGCCAGCAGCCGCGGUAAUACGGAGGAUCCGAGCGUUAUCCGGAUUUAUUGGGUUUAAAGGGAGCGUAGGUGGAUUGUUAAGUCAGUUGUGAAAGUUUGCGGCUCAACCGUGAAAUUGCAGUUGAAACUGGCAGUCUGGAGUACAGUAGAGGUGGGCGGAAUUCGUGGUGUAGCGGUGAAAUGCUUAGAUAUCACGAAGAACUCCGAUUGCGAAGGCAGCUCACUGGACUGCAACUGACACUGAGGCUCGAAAGUGUGGGUAUCAAACAGGAUUAGAUACCCCAGUAGUC